rnacentral:lncRNA from 12 species
GGAACAUCCUCCCCAUGGAGGGUGGAGAGGGAACGAUGGUUUGGAGUGCCUUCCUGACAUCCAGGACCCCGCUGGCCUCGGGGCUGGACGGGACCCAGAGGCUGCUUCCCACUGCAGGGCAUCUGCUGGAGUGCAAAAUGCCUCAGGAUGGUACCAAACAGGGACUAGGGGAUGGCGUGGGACCCCCAGAAACCUCUCCCUGCUCAGGGGGAUGUGGAAAUUGGGAUGGCCAAGUCUGGCAACUGGGCUCUCCACCAGUGGCUGCUGGUGUGGGAUGGAACUCUGGGAAGUAGCAGGGAGCUGGGAGGCCAGACAAGGGACUGGUCUUGGGGUUGGAGCUGCCUCAGGCUGGUUUUCCUGACGGACAGUUAGAGGAUGUCUGUGGUACCAAGGGGAAGUUGAUGCAGGAGAUGCCUCCCCCAGCAGCCUUGGGGCCACAUCCUGAUCCCUCCUUUCUGCUCCUCUCCUAAGGACUCCAGGCCAGGAGGCCUCGCUCUG